rnacentral:misc_RNA from 1 species
UUAUUUGUUAAAAUAAGACUACGUUCAUGACAUUAUAAGAGUUUUGUGAGAGGACGGUUUCGCCCACGGGCUAAUCCGCGUCCAAAUAACGGUUCACAGGUGUGUGUGGGUAGAACCGGCUUGCGCCGGCGGUUCUCUACUGAUCCUUCCGCAGGUUCACCUACGGAAA